AGUGCUAGAGCAUCUGUUGGCUAAUUGAAUUAGGAACACAUUUUUUAGGCAAUGUAUUUGAUUUCAUAUUGCUUCACAGGUAACUAUAUUCAAGCAGCGUGCUAGUAGAUUGGCAUCCCUUAAUGCAAAGCUGAUUGGUAGAGUUGGUGACUUCUGCUAUGUCCAAGAAGGGCUUCAGCUUGGGUAGCUUUUUGGCAAUAGAUUCACAAUAACUCUUAGGGUCUAUGACCAGCCCCGAUGGGUUAUAUCUAUGGGAAGUUGUGUAAAUGGAGGUGGAUAUCUGUCCCUGGCUGCCCACCAACAGUUGAGGCCUUGCUUUAUGGACUUCUGCAGCUACAGAUAGAAGAAAAUUAACAAGCGCAAGGAUUUACUUCACUUGUGGACCAAGUGAGCACAUUCUGCUUAUAUUCCUUUAACAUGGCUACAUUUUGGCAAGAUACUAAUCAGUGUAGUAUAUGCCGGCUUGUUAUGGCCAAGGGUCACUCAUGAUAUUUGAAGAAAGCCCCUUGAAAUUACUCUAAACUAUGAUGCCCAGUUGCGGGUCUUUAUUGUAUCUAAUGAGAGGUUUAUAUGUUCUUUUAGUUUUCUCAGUUCCAGCUUUUUAAAAACAAAUUGAAACUCUAUAUGUUAUUUUUCUUUCUGGCUAAAGUGAAGCUAUCCUUUGGUUUUGUGUCUGGGUUAAGGAUGAAGAGAACCUUUGAUAAAAAUUCAGUCUUCUAAUAAGAUUCUGAAACUUUGUAUGUUCAGUAGUAUAUUUUUAGGAUACAUUCGCUUGAUCUCCUGUAUUCAGUAGUUUUUUCCCCUUCCUUUUCAAGGACUUAAAUUUUUGAACUUUGGUAGUUUGAAGAGAGUUUUAGAUUGACAACAGUAAUUUCAACUAUAGCCG